rnacentral:rRNA from 1 species
GAUGAACGCUGGCGGCGUGCCUAAUACAUGCAAGUCGAGCGAACGGACGAGAAGCUUGCUUCUCUGAUGUUAGCGGCGGACGGGUGAGUAACACGUGGAUAACCUACCUAUAAGACUGUGAUAACUUCGGGAAACCGUAGCUAAUACCGGAUGAUAUUUUGAACCGCAUGGUUCAAAAGUGAAAGACGGUCUUGCUGUCACUUAUAGAUUGAUCCGCGCUGCAUUAGCUAGUUGGUAAGGUAACGGCUUACCAAGGCAACGAUGCAUAGCCGACCUGAGAGGGUGAUCGGCCACACUGGAACUGAGACACGGUCCAGACUCCUACGGGAGGCAGCAGUAGGGAAUCUUGCGCAAUGGGCGAAAGCCUGACGGAGCAAAGCCGCGUGAAGGAUGAAGGUCUUCGGAUCGUAAAACUCUGUUAUAAGGGAAGAACAUAUGUGUAAGUAACUGUGCACAUCUUGACGGUACCUAAUCAGAAAGCCACGGCUAACUACGUG